UAGUCAUAUGCUUGUCUCAAAAAUUAACCCAUGCAUGUCUAAUUAUAACCCCUUGAACGGCAAAACUGCAAAUGGCUCAUUAAAACAGUUAUCGUUUAUUUGGUGUUCACCUACUACAAGGAUAACUGUAGUAAUUCUAAAGCUAAUACUUGCGUAUCCCUGACUUUUCGAAAAGGGUUGCAUUUAUUAAAUACAAACCAAUCAAAAGUUCCACUUUCGUUACUGGUGAUUCAUAAUAACUAACCAAAUCGCAGGGGGUAACCCGGCAAUAGACCUUUCAAGUUUCUGACCUAUCACCUAUUGACGGUAGGGUAUUGGCCUACCGUGGCUAUGACGGGUAACGAAAAAUUAGGGUUCAAUUCCGGAGAGGGAGCCUGAAAAACGGCUACCACAUCUAAGGAUGGCAGCAGGCGCGCAAAUUACCCAAUCCUGACACAGGGAGGUAGUGACAAAAAAUAACAAUGUAGGGCUUCACAGUCUUGCAAUUGGAAUGAGUAAAUUUUAAAUCUCUCUACAAGUAACAAUU
rnacentral:rRNA from 1 species